GCCUCAAGUGAUGUGU
rnacentral:rRNA from 10 species